UACGGAGGGUGCAAGCGUUCUCCGGCUUCACUGGGUUUAAAGGGUGCGUCGGUGGGCAGGUAAGUCCGUGGUGAAAUCUCUGAGCUUAACUCAGAAACUGCCGUGGAUACUAUUUGUCUUGAAUGUUGUGGAGGUGAGCGGAAUAUGUCAUGUAGCGGUGAAAUGCUUAGAUAUGACAUAGAACACCAAUUGCGAAGGCAGCUCACUACACAAUUAUUGACGCUGAGGCACGAAAGCGUGGGGAUCAAACAGG
rnacentral:rRNA from 1 species